rnacentral:rRNA from 1 species
GAUGAACGCUGGCGGCGUGCCUAAUACAUGCAAGUCGAGCGAACAGACGAGGAGCUUGCUCCUCUGACGUUAGCGGCGGACGGGUGAGUAACACGUGGAUAACCUACCUAUAAGACUGGGAUAACUUCGGGAAACCGGAGCUAAUACCGGAUAAUAUAUUGAACCGCAUGGUUCAAUAGUGAAAGACGGUUUUGCUGUCACUUAUAGAUGGAUCCGCGCCGCAUUAGCUAGUUGGUAAGGUAACGGCUUACCAAGGCAAGUAUGCGUAGCCGACGUGAGAGAGUGAUCGGCCACACUAGAAGUUAGACGGGGACCAUACUCCUACGGGAGGCCGCAGUAGGGAAUCUUCCGCAAUGGGCGAAAGCCUGACGGAGCAACGCCGCGUGAGUGAUGAAGGUCUUCGGAUCGUAAAACUGUGUUAUUAGGUAAGAACAAAUGUGUAAGUAACUAUGCACGUCUUGACGGUAACUAAUCAGAAAGCCACGGCUAACUACGUG